rnacentral:rRNA from 1 species
AAUCAACGCUGGCGGCGUGCCUCAGACAUGCAAGUCGAACGAUUAAAGCUCUCUUCGGAGAGUGCAUAAAGUGGCGCACGGGUGAGUAACACGUAAGUAAUCCACCUUCGAGUGGGGAAUAACGUCCGGAAACGGACGCUAAUACCGCAUAAUGCAGCGGCACCUAAUGGUGACAGUUGUUAGAGAAUUUAUUCGCUUGAAGAGGAGCUUGCGGCAGAUUAGCUAGUUGGUAAGGUAAUGGCUUACCAAGGCUUCGAUCUGUAACCGGUCUAAGAGGACGGUCGGUCACACUGACACUGAAUAACGGGUCAGACUCCUACGGGAGGCAGCAGUCGGGAAUUUUGGGCAAUGGGCGAAAGCCUGACCCAGCAACGCCGCGUGAAGGAUGAAGUAUUUCGGUAUGUAAACUUCGAAAGAAUGGGAAGAAUCAAUGACGGUACCAUUUAUAAGGUCCGGCUAACUACGUGCCAGCCGCCGCAGUAACAC